rnacentral:rRNA from 1 species
GAUGAACGCUGGCGGCGUGCCUAAUACAUGCAAGUCGAGCGAACGGACGAGAAGCUUGCUUCUCUGAUGUUAGCGGCGGACGGGUGAGUAACACGUGGAUAACCUACCUAUAAGACUGGGAUAACUUCGGGAAACCGGAGCUAAUACCGGAUAAUAUUUUGAACCGCAUGGUUCAAAAGUGAAAGACGGUCUUGCUGUCACUUAUAGAUGGAUCCGCGCUGCAUUAGCUAGUUGGUAAGGUAACGGCUUACCAAGGCAACGAUGCAUAGCCGACCUGAGAGGGUGAUCGGCCACACUGGAACUGACACGGUCCAGACUCCUACGGGAGGCAGCAGUAGGGAAUCUUCCGCAAUGGGCGAAAGCCUGACGGAGCAACGCCGCGUGAGUGGUGAAGGUCUUCGGAUCGUAAAACUCUGUUAUUAGGGAAGAACAUAUGUGUAAGUAACUGUGCACAUCUUGACGGUACCUAAUCAGAAAGCCACGGCUAACUACGUG